GAUGAACGCUGGCGGCGUGCCUAAUACAUGCCAGUCGAGCGAACAGACGAGGAGCUUGCUCCUCUGACGUUAGCGGCGGACGGGUGAGUAACACGUGGAUAACCUACCUAUAAGACUGGGAUAACUUCGGGAAACCGGAGCUAAUACCGGAUAAUAUAUUGAACCGCAUGGUUCAAUAGUGAAAGACGGUUUUGCUGUCACUUAUAGAUGGAUCCGCGCCGCAUUAGCUAGUUGGUAAGGUAACGGCUUACCAAGGCAACGAUGCGUAGCCGACCUGAGAGGGUGAUCGGCCACACUGGAACUGAGACACGGUCCAGACUCCUACGGGAGGCAGCAGUAGGGAAUCUUCCGCAAUGGGCGAAAGCCUGACGGAGCAACGCCGCGUGAGUGAUGAAGGUCUUCGGAUCGUAAAACUUUGUUAUUAGGGAAGAACAAAUGUGUAAGUAACUAUGCACGUCUUGACGGUACCUAAUCAGAAAGCCACGGCUAACUACGUG
rnacentral:rRNA from 1 species